CUUAUAUAUAUUGAUCAUUAUGCGUCGAUACAGUACAUACUUCUGUAACCACAGUGUGCCCAGGAUCGAUCUGGUAGCUAGUAGUAUCAUAUCCAUUUCAUGUGUUGCUAAUUCGAAACUCCACUUAGUAUGGAGUAUCUAUGAUCUGCAUUCGUAUGCAUCCUUCGUCUUACUUGGAAGAGGGGUUGCCAUCUUUUACUCACGCAUCUCCUCCUGCACCAAAAUAUAAAGAAGAAAACAGUGAAUUAGUUAGAAGCCUAGCUCUACGUCGCACGUAAUCGAAGCUCAUAGUGAUCGUACGUCCGGUUUGAUCACCUGGGUUGACAGAUACCAGGCGAUUCAGGCCGAGGGCGCCGGGCACACGUACAGCGGCGGCACGCCGCCGUUGUCGCCGCAGCUGCUCAUGAGGUCCUGCGGCAGCGUGAGGCCGCAGACGUCGCCCAUGAGGGCGAGCGCGCGGUCGACGGGGAUGUCAACGCCGAUGGCCCGCUCUAGGGUGCGGUUGAAGAUGUGGCACAGGCACGCGGGCUGGUCUCGGACGAUGGUGCCCAGGCCCUUGCAGCACCCCGCGGGCGCCUUGGACGUGCCCGCGUCCCUGAAGAAGGCCAGGCACGGGCUCAGCUCCAGCAGCGACCCCAUGCACGUCGCCGACACGUCCACCGCCGACGGCCUCGGGAUGGUGGGCUCCGACGCGAUGAUGUGCUUCGCCGCCGGCCUCGGGAAGAUGGCUCCCGACGGCCUCGAGAAGAUGGACUUGGGCUCCGACGCGAUGCUCUUUUUCGCCGCAUCGGCCGCCGUGGCGACGGCGAGGGCCAGCAGCAGGAGGAGGACGGAGGCGGCGCAGGGCUUGCUAGACGACGCCAUUGCACUUGACUUCGCCGGAAGGGCUUAAGCUAAGCACGUACGUGGAUGAUUAGCGAGUUUGGCUUGCGAGUCUUGGAUGGGCUUAGAGAUGCUCACUGGUCCAUCUAUUUAUAGUCAAGGUCUCAAGGAGAGGGCCAGGGCGCAACCAUCUGUGAGUUUAUUUCAUGGUUAGUUCCAUGCACGGGUCUUGCGAGCAACACGAAGAUGGCAUGAAUUGCCGAGUCGAGACACGACGCAUUUCUAACUCUGGCCGUCUUACCUACUGCAACAUAGUCUAAAAGAUUAAUUUCGAACAAAAUAAACUUCUAGAGAGAGAGAGAAAUGCACGCGGUGAGCAUGCAUGCUGUUUCAAGGGAUUGUUUUGGGGGUGCAUGAGACAAGUGAUGAGCGGUGGUGGUGGUGUUGCACAUGGAAACGCCAGUUUUCACCAGGUUCAGGUUGUUGGUAUCAAUCUGUCAACGAGAAACAAGCUUCCAGGCAGAGAGAUAUGCACAGACCUGAAGGCCGGGCGGUUCUUCAAUUGUUAAAAAUUCAAAUGUUAAAAGAAAUGGAUAUAUCAUUUUAAUCUGUGUGCCAACUAUGUUGGCUUUGACAAGACCAAAAUGGAGAAGUUAUUCAACUCCUCUUUGAGAUCUCUAAAGACUAACGUGGAGGUUUCCCUAUGUUGUUAUGCAGAUUGGGUUUAAGUGCCAAUUAUACUAUUUUAACUGUAAAUAACUUCAUUAAGAGCUGUUUUUUUGGCCGCAGAUAGCCAGUUUUUACCGAAAUUACACUAGUUUGAUGGUAUAGACAGUGUAUUUAAGGAAUUUCACAUAACAUAUGAUUCAAGCCAUCAUAACAUAUAGUACUAAUUAUAUAUCGGUUUUGCUAUAUUGCAGGUGCCUGGAAUUUUUUGUUGCGUUAGUUAAUUUGUGGGUCAUCCAUUUCUAUGCUAAGAUUCGUGUUGGAUGUGUUGCUCUUUUGCAUUUAUUCUCUUUCUUUUUGAUGAUAUGUCUUAUCUUAUCGGCUCCGGUUCAAUGAAACCCUUUUAUCCUUCGCCGGCUCAACCCGCAUUUUCUUAUCCAUGCAUCCCCCCUCCUCUGCUCUCUUGUCUCUCCAGUUUCUCCGCUCUUCAGUCGCUCCACUCUCUUGCUGGUCUCUUCUGUGGUCUCGAUUAUUCUAGGGUUUUGAGAUGUGGCAUUUUUUUGCUGGUUAUCUUCUUUGAAGAUUUGAUAUAGUUCUUUGAGGUUUGGAUUCAGUGCUUGUGUGGAUUUUGUUCUGUGAAGGGUUUGCUGCCGAGCUUUCCAGAAACCCUAGCUUCCCCGCCCCCUCCCCUACUCCUCGUCCUCAGCUCUUUCCACUGGUAUCAGUUUGCUUGAUUCUCUGUAUUGUACAUGAAUAUCUGAUUUAUAUUAUUGUUUGUGAUGUAUUAGUGAUUGGUUAUUUCGGUUUGUCUAGUUACCCUAGCUGAUUUUAAUUAUUUUAUUAGUAUUAGUAUUAGUAUUGAUAGUUGUCGCUUUUAAUUCUGUUUCAUUCUUGUUGGUUGUGUAUUUAUGUUCUGGUUAGUCUUUUGUGUGGUAUCUAGUUGUUUCUAGUUUUGUGAUUUUAUUUUUGGUAUCUAGAUAUAAUUUUGUUGUUCUCCUUUUAAUGAUUGAACUCUUUAUGUUUUUUUGAACAUUACUACACACACAAGCGCUCAUAUACACGCGCAUACACUCACCCCUAUGAAUGCACACACGCACACCCCACCCCUAUGAGCACCUCCUAAAGACUGAGUCGACAUAUCAUUUACGAAGUCACCGUAGGCACCUUGUCAUCGACGGGAACGUCUCCCCCCCACUGAAUGCACAUCGCUGGAAAUCCUGAAAUAAAUCCAGGAAUAAAUGCGAGCACCAGGAUUUGAACCCUGGUGGGCUGGGGAUACCACAGUCACUCUAACCAUCCAACAACAGGUUGGCUCGCAACUCUUUAUGUUUUAAAUGUAGUAUUUUAGUGUACUAUUUUAAAAUAUAGUUUUAAUUGUGUAUUGAUAGUCUGAUUUCAUCAUUAUCCCGCAGGUAGCUAUGUCUUGCGGUGUUUGCCAGAACUUUGACUGUUGGGAAACGUAGUAGAAAAUAAAAGAAAUCACCCUAUGAUCGCCCAGGAACAAUACGAAGAUGCAUAUAAGGCUUGUUUCAACGACCGUUACCGACUCUAGAGUGCAACAGAAGUAGACUAGUCAGUGUUGAUCGUACUUGGAGUCCCUCGUACCAUAGAUGAACGAUCCACGAAUUGUCCACGAACGAUCCCUCGAACAGAAGAUCGAAAGCACGACCUCUUUAUUUGGUCACAAGCGUACAAUCUUCACGAUCCGGCAGCACUUCGCCGUCCAAAGCUAAUCGUCGCCGGAGAAUCAGAGGGAGGAGAUUUGAACCACACUAUGCUUGUAAUUAUGAGGAUUACAAGAUCUUGGUUAAGCUCUAAUUGAUCAACUAGAACCACUAGUAGAAAAACGACCUAAUGUUCACCUCAUUAGUCCUGGUUCAAUUACGGACCGGCACUAAUAUGACCAUUAGUGCCGGUUCCAAAGGCUAGGAGGGCAGCACUCAUUAGUCUCGGUUCAUGUUGAACCUCUAGUACCGGUUCGUGCCACGAACCGUGACUAAAGAGGUGGUGGCUCAAGAGGAACUAGAGGAGGCUCUAAAACUUGUAUACACAAAAGGGACAAUACCUCAAGUAUAUAUAGGUUACAAGGGGAGAGAGGGGCUGUCACCAAGUAGGGAAAGUCCCUCCUUGAGGCGCCAAUCAAGGGAGGGGAGGAGGAAUCCCCCCACUCCAAUUCGGCCUUCCCUGUAGGAAAGGGGAGGGGGGGGGGGUGUGCCACUUCCACUUGGGCCUUUGUGGCCCAAGUUGUCUUCCACCUCUUGGACUUUUAAGACCUGUUGAUAUUAAAUUUAAUAUAAAAUCCUCCUAACAAUUUCUAGAGCUUUUUAUUAUUAAUUUAACAUCAUGGGAGACAUUUUCCACCUAUAUAUUAUUUACAGGGAAUAUCCGGUAUUGCCGAAUAAACUUUGAAAUCCUUCCAGUGACCUCGAAAUGCUUUCGGUUCCUCUCAAAACUAUUCUGAAUAUUGAUACGUCUCCAACGUAUCUACUUUUCCAAACACUUUUUGCCCUUGUUUUGGACUCUAACUUGCAUGAUUUGAAUGGAACUAACCCGGACUGACGCUAUUUUCAGCAGAAUUGCCAUGGUGUUAUUUUUGUGCAGAAAUAAAAGUUCUCGGAAUGACCUGAAAAUCAAUGGAGAAUAUUUUUGGAAUAUAUAAAAAAUUCUGGCGAAAGAAUCAAGGCCAGGGGACCCACACCCUAUCCACGAGGGUGGGGGCACGCCUACCCCCUGGGCGCCCCCUGCCUCGUGGGCCCCCUGAUGCUCCACCGACCUCAACUCCAACUCUAUAUAUUCACGUUCGGGGAGAAAAAAAAUCAGAGAGAAGGAUUCAUCGCGUUUUACGAUACGGGGCCGCCGCCAAGCUCUAAUCUCUCCCGAGAGGGCUGAUCUGGAGUCCGUUCGGGGCUCCGGAGAGGGGAAUCCAUCACCAUCGUCAUCAUCAACCUUCCUCCAUCACCAAUUUUAUGAUGCUCACCGCCGUGUGUGAGUAAUUGCAUCGUAGGCUUGCUGGACGGUGAUGGGUUGGAUGAGAUUUAUCAUGUAAUCGAGUUAGUUUUGUUAGGGUUUGAUCCCUAGUAUCCAUUAUGUUCUGAGAUUGAUGUUGCUAUGACUUUGCUAUGCUUAAUGCUUGUCACUAGGGCCCGAGUGCCAUGAUUUCAGAUCUGAACCCAUUAUGUUUUCAUGAAUAUAUGUGAGUUCUUGAUCCUAUCUUGCAAGUCUAUAGUCACCUAUUAUGUGUUAUGAUCCGUUAAGCCCGAGGUGACAAUAAUCGGGAUACUUACCGGUGAUGACCGUAGUUUGAGGAGUUCAUGUAUUCACUAAGUGUUAAUGUUUUGGUCUGGUACUCUAUUAAAAGGAGGUCUUAAUAUCCCUUAGUUUUCAAUAGGACCCCGCUGCCACGGGAGGGUAGGACAAAAUAUGUCAUGCAAGUUAUUUUCCAUAAGCACGUAUGACUAUAUUCGGAAUACAUGCCUACAUUACAUUGAUGAACUAGAGCUAGUUCUGUGUCACCCUAUGUUAUAACUAUUGCAUGAGGAAUCGCAUCCGACAUAAUUAUCCAUCACUGAUCCAUUGCCUACGAGCUUUCCAUAUAUUGUUCUUCGCUUAUUUACUUUCCCGUUGCUAUUGCUAUCAUCACUACAAAAUACCAAAAACAUUACUUUUACUAUUGUUACCUUUUGCUGUCGUUAUCACCACUAUCAUGAUAAUAUUAUUGCCUCUAUGACAUAUUUCCAACAUUGAGUGCUCUGGUGUUGUGUUGGGCGUGCAGCAUAGAUUCUUCACCGUGGCUUUGCCCCAUUGUUAUGACCAUUGUGCGGUUUGAUUAAUGUUUUAUUUCUCCUUCAUUUAAAUGUUUAUUUCUAGUUCUUCUAUGAUUGAUUAUUUAUUUUUAUAGGUAAUAGUCCUUGUUCUGUGUUUUGCAUUGGUUGUGCAAGUACUGUCUAAGUUGUGUGUAUGUAUUAGGUUAUAUGCUUGUUGUUAGGUUCUAGCUGUUAUCAUCCUAGAUUUAAUUUUAUUGCUAGUUUUGUAAAAGCUACUCUCUCCCCUCCUGUUGGUCAGCUAUUACUUAGUUUAGUAUGUUUUGCUCUUGUAAUUUAACUUUUGUUGCUCGUCUGUUUGAUGUUUGCUCACCUAUUAUUUUAACAAUGACUUGCUCUUUUGUUAUUAUAUAGUGUAUAUAUUUUUGCUUAUUUUCUAUUUGGAAUUUUUUUGCAGUAUGUCCCAUGCUAUUAGAGGCAACAAUUGUUGAUUCUAUUUGCUGGUCGGAAGCUUACUGCUUUUGAAGAUGAGGGACAAACUGCAAUCCUUUGUUUGUAACGAAUGAGACUCUCAGUAAUGAAUUGAAGCUUACCGAUGUGGAUCGCAUGUGUAAGUCUCAUGGUCCUAGGUGGAAGAAUUUGAUUGAUGAGUAUGAUCUUCGUUAUCGCAAUUUCAUUACUUAGUUUGCUUGGUGAUGAUCUUCAUACUGAUGUUAUCUGGGGCUGAAAGAUUCUCGUGGUGGUCAAGUUCCUUUGCCCAAGCCUAGUGUUCGUAUGUGUUCUAUGCAUAUCCCCCUUUGCUUAUGUUUUCACUCUAUUCAUGUGUCCUUUUCUGUGAAGUUUAUCAAGUAUUAUGCUAUUGAUUUAUUCAAAUGCAUGGUUAUUUUUAGUAGUUAAGGUUGUUGUUUAUCAUGAUGUUGAGCAAGUAUAUUAUGUGCAGUAUGCAAUUUUUUGUUAUUUUAGAAUAUCUUGAGUUGUUUGCAAUUUUUUGUAAGGUUGAAAGAUUCUCAUGGUGGUCAAUUUUAGUAUAUCAAGUAUAUUCUGAGCAAGUAUACCAUGAGUUAUUAGAUUUCCUGAAGGUUUGUCCCCAGUUAGAGUAUGGUGAUGAAUUGAUAUGUUCUCCACUUGGAGAUGAGUUGAUGGUCUUUUGACCAACACGGUGGUUGAAGAUUCUAGUGAAAAUUUGAUCGGUUGUGUAUUUUUGAGCGUACAUAGUGCACGUACGGUGUAGGAUGCUUCUACAUGAGUGCUUGAAGAGGGGUAAUAUCGCCGCAUCGGCAAGCAUCCAUGUGAGAGUUUCAUCUACUCAAACUCAAGUACCUAUUUGUAGGUACGUGAUGGUCAAACUGUCUAUUCCUUUUGGGGGAAUUGUAUUGUCCAUUCUUGGAAUAAUCUUAUAUGUUAGCACAGGUGCCUAGUUAAGCAUGUGAUCGAAGUGACUUUUCCCCGCAAAAAAGAAAAAGAUGAUGCUAGUCUUUUCUUGAGGAAGCCGCAUUUAUUUUUUGCUGAGUUGAAAGACAUAGAUAAUUGCACUAUCCCAUAAGGUAAAACCAUGAGAGCACAAGUAAAUAUAUAAUACUUUUUUGUUUCUUAUAUAUUGAUCAUUAUGCGUGGAGACAGUACAUACUUCCGUAACCACAGUAUACCCAGGAUCGAUCUGGUAGCUAGUAGUAUCAUAUCCAUUCCAUGUGAUGCUAAUUCGAAACUCCAAUUAGUAUGGAGUAUCUAUGAUAAGCUGCAUUCGUAUGCAUGCAUCCUUCGUCUUGCUUGGAAGAGGGGCUGCCAUCUUUUACUCACGCAUCUCCUCCUGCACGAAAAAUACAAAGAAAAAACAGUGAAUUAGUUAGAAGCCUAGCUCUACGUUGCACGUAGUCGAAGCUCCUAGUGAUCAUACGGCCGGUUUGAUCACCUGGGUUGACAGAUAUCAGGCGAUUCAGGCCGAGGGCGCCGGACACACGUACAGUGGCGGCACGCCGCCGUUGUCGCCGCAGCUGCUCAUGAGGUCCUGCGGCAGCGUGAGGCCGCAGACGUCGCCCAUGAGGGCAAGCGCGCGGUCGACGGGGAUGUCGACGCCGAUGGCACGCUCCAGGGUGCGGUUGAAG
rnacentral:lncRNA from 1 species